rnacentral:lncRNA from 1 species
UUUUUUUUUUUUUUGUAUGGGAAUGGGUAUCUGUAUUUGAACACUAAAAAUCUUCAAAUCAACAAAUUUACAUCGGUAUAGGGCUCUCCAACCGGCGCCCCUCAUCCCAUAAAGAAGUAAAACUUAACCACACUUAUAACCGACGAAUUGUCGUCGCUGGAAGUCUCAAUUUCAUUAGAAAACAACAACAAAAUCUCAGUCUCACAAACUAACUGUAAAAACUAGACAGUGUCUUUACCCAACAGGGAACCUGCGAGAGUGCUCCUCAAGCCCCCAGUUUGGAAGUUGCAGCUUCCAACGCGUUAAAGCAUUAAACUUUAAGCAUUGUUGUCAGUGGAGAAAGGCCUUCACUUUAUAUGGCAGUUUGUUUCAGAAUCACUCUUCCUUCUUCUUUCUUCGGUAAUCUUUCCACUUCUGUAAUCUUUCAUAGAAAAACUUUACUUGAUUCAUUCUAGAACGCAUCACAAAAGCCCUUUUCUUUUCUUGAUAAUACCACCGUUCUUCUCAUCAAGGGUCAUCACUUCAAUUUUCAUCUCAGUUUUAAGGUAGACAAUCAGACAUAGCCUUUUCUUUUCUGGGUUCUUUCGCUUUUCUUGAUUAUGGGUAAAGUUUAGUUCUUUUAAGAAUUGUUGGUAUGUGAAAUGGUAAGAAAUUAAGGUGAAGUGCUUUGCUUCAAGUUUGCAUUGUGGGUUCAAGUUUCUGAUACCAAAGAAUUGGCAAGAUAUGAUUUUUAUCAUCUAUGGUGUGCUAAAUGCCUAUAUUACAGGGAUGCUUUGAAUCUGAUGGUUUCAUGCAUUGCAUUUUUGGGCUGUGAUCACCAAUUUCAGCAUCUUGGUUUCUUUUUCUGAGGGAAAUAGAAAUUAUUUUUCUUGUUAGAGCAGUAGCUGGUUUGUUAACUUUAUGUGUAUGUGUAGAUGGAAGACAGCAACAAGAGUAAAACAGGUGACAGCAUUUCUUGUGCCGGUAGCAAUAAGCCGAAGAAACCAGAUGUCCAUAAGAACGGUUAUAGUAAAGAUGUCAUGCCUGGGAGUGAACUUUGGACUGAGGGGCUUAUCUGUGCUUUUGAGUUCAUUCGGGGUCGAAAGAAAUCAAUUGGUUUGAAAUCUGGCUCAACAAUCCCAAGCAGACAACAUACAGAUGGUGGUGACCAUGAGAAGCUGCGGGUUCCUUCUAAAGGAGUUCAAGAGUCUUCUUUCCCAAUACAUGACAGGAACAAGUCCAUAAGUGGUGAUUACAAAUACAGCCCGACUCAUGAUGGUGAAAGAGUAACUGAUCACUGGGUGCCAAUUGGGUGGGUUAGAAUUUCAGAAAUCGUCCAAAAUGUGCAAGCUGAUGCCGGUUGGGAUCCUCAACAGUUUGGGAUUGAUGAUGAAGAUUUCACUGUUGCAGACUUAGCAGCUCCAUAUUGGGAGCGUCCAGUAGGGCCUGUCUGGUGGUGCCAUGUCUCUGCAAGUCAUCCUGCGGUUGAAGAUUGGCUCCGUAAUGCCCAGUGGCUACAUCCCGCUGUCAGUUUAGCUUUAAGAGAUGAAAGUCGACUGAUUAGUGAUAAAAUGAAACACCUAUUAUAUGAGGUAAAGUGCAUCUUACAUAAUAUGGAAUUGCUAUUUACUUGGAAGAAUCAGCUUUUAGGCCUCUUGUAAUAAGAAAGUAGACCUGGGAUUGAAUCGCCUUAACUACAGAUGGUGGCUUGUAGGAUUGUGCACCCCUAUUGCAAUUUGUGAUGUAUGGCCAUUGCAUAUAGAAUAUUCUAUACUUAGAAACUACCAAUAAUUUUAUGAACUGUUAGGAUGAUAAAUAGCUUUCUAAGCCAAUAAAAUGUGGUGGCUUGGGUUAAAGCCUGAGAGGUCUUAUAUCCGCACUAUUAGACUGCUAGGAAAGCCAAUAAGCUCUUUACUGAAAAUUUGCACAAAACAUCUUUGUCUCUUCUUUUGUAUCUUUUGUCCCUUUAUUUCAUGAUUCAUGACAUUUAGGAAAGUAAGGACUUCUAGUUGGUAUAUCUUUGAGUUUUGUAUACAUUGCUUGAUACUUGUGAAUCCUACGAGUGGAUCCACAGAGGUGAAGAGUAACAAAAUUGAGCCCUCCCAUAAAUGAGCUAUAUUUGUCAAUCUUGAGAAUGAAUUUGGCUUUCAUUCUUGUGUGAGCUCUUGUUUCCUUGUUUAUUGAUCAUGCUUUGUACUUCUAUUCAGGUCCCAGUUAGAGUUUCUGGGGGGUUGUUAUUUGAACUCUUGGGACAGUCAGUUGGUAAUCCAUUUGUUGAUGAGGAUGAUAUACCCGUUGUACUUCGUUCCUGGCAAGCACAAAACUUCCUUGUAACUGCUUUGCAUGUGAAAGGGCGUGUAUCAAAUAUAAAUGUGUUGGGCAUCACAGAAGUUCAGGUUGUGCUUAUUAAUAGCUUUGAUUCUAAACUAAACUAUGAUUUUAUUACUCGUGCAAUUUAUUAACUUAUUGUGAUGCCAUGUUUAUUCCAUUUUGUCUUUGCUCUGAUUAGGAACUUCUUUCCACUGGAGGCUAUAAUGUACCAAAAACAGUGCAUGAAGUCAUAGCACAUCUAACUAGCCGCCUUACUCGAUGGGAUGAUAGGUAAUGUUGAUAUUUAUUGAUUGUAUUUGUUUCAGCUUACAACACAUACUUUUUAAAAUGCUACAUCAAUUAUUUGUCUAGUCUCAUGAAUGCUAGUUUUUGUGUUCCAAUCAUAUGAAAUGCUUUCUUCUCUUUUCCCCUUUUCAUCUAUGCAUUCAAAAAUGCUGCAAUGAGUUUAUAUGGUAUUUGUGUAAAUGCUCCCCCAUGCACACAAAGACACAAUUACAGUUCAGUUCAUGCAAUAUGUUAAAGCAGACGUUUUGAUUGUUUAUGCUAUAGAUUUGGACAUUUUACAUCGUCUUUCAGCAGGGUUGAUUAGUUUGUUUUACAUGAAAGUUGGUUCAUUUAUCUCAGAAUAGAUUUUAGAGUAUUUUGAGUCCGUAUAUUCUAAUUUCCUUAUGUCUUUGAUGUGUUGGUUGUUUCAGGCUGUUCCGCAAAUCCAUAUUUGGUGCCGCAGAUGAGAUUGAAUUGAAGUUUAUGAACAGGUACUUCCUUAGAUAGUCCUCAUAAAGUGAUAUUAUCUCAUUAAGUAAUAAGUUGAUACCAUUUUGUCUAUGACUAAUAAAUGUUCUUUCCUCAAUGAAUAGGAGAAACCAUGAAGAUUUGAAUCUAUUCAGCAUAAUUCUCAACCAAGAAAUCAGAAAGUUAUCGAGACAGGUAUGUUACAUCUUUUUGCUAGUAAACCAUUAAAUAUGAGAAAUAGCCUGAUUUUUCAUUAGGAAAUGAAGAUUGAAUUUGAGUAUGAUAUCUGAGGUUAUCUGUUACAUGAUUUCUAAUUCUAUAAUAAGACCUACAGUGAAUGUUUAUGGUCUAAGAAUAUGUUUGGAUGUCAUUGAUUUCAACCUACUUGUACUAUAGUUUAACCCGUAUACUAUUUAUUUUGGACAAACUAACUUUUAGCAACUAUACAUUAUGUUAUAUCUGUUUAUCAGUGACCUCUUUUCUCUUGACUGUUGAAGUGGAAAAUCCAAGUCACAGUGAUAUUUAUUUAAAGAACAGUCACUAGUCACUUUUUUUAGUGUCCUUUAGAGUUAAAAUGUCAACAAAAUUGAUUAAUUUCCUGAAAAAUCCAUUUCCAGGUCAUCAGAGUAAAGUGGUCACUUCAUGCAAGAGAGGAGAUUUUGUUUGAGCUUCUUGAACAUUUGAGAGGAAAUAUUACAAGAACCUUAUUAGAGAAAAUAAGAAAGAGCACAAGAGAAAUGAUUGAGGAGCAAGAAGCAGUUCGUGGCCGCUUAUUUACAAUUCAGGAUGUGAUGCAGAGCACUGUUCGUGCAUGGUUGCAGGUCUGUACGCAAACAAUAACGUGAAAUUUAAUGGAACUUUAUUUAUAUCUAAUUUUUAUUAACUGCUGAUUUUGUCCUCUUUUCAAUAUUAAUCCAGGACAGAAGCCUAAGAGUGACACAUAAUCUUGCUGUUUUUGGUGGUUGUGGCCUUGUGCUUUCCAUCAUCACCGGGCUUUUUGGAAUCAAUGUUGAUGGAAUGCCUGGAGCAAACAAUACACCAUAUGCAUUUGGCCUAUUUACAGGCAUACUCUUUUUUAUUGGAAUCGUGCUAAUUCUACUUGGGUUGCUUUACCUUGGGUUGAAAGAGCCUAUUGCCGAAGAGCAAGUCGAAGUUAGAAAAUUAGAGCUUCAAGAGUUGGUUCAGAUGUUUCAACACGAGGCAGAAACUCAUGCCCUGGUUCGUAAAAAUGUGUCUCGGAAUAAUUUACCGCCAACAUUGGGAGAUGCAUUCAGAGGUAACGCAAAUUAUAUCCUCAUCGAGUAGGUUACAGUGCCGAAAGCCUGGAAGUGCAUUUUGCACCAAGCUCUUGUCUUGAGAAUUUCUAGUUGAAAGGAAAUGUUGCAGGCUUCAUUUAGUGUAGUGGGGGCGUAUUGAGAAUGAUUCCUAGUGAUACGGUAACAAAAUAGAUGCAUAAUCGAAACUUGGUAUGUUGUUAAAUAGUCGUAUUUGUAAGUUUGAAUCUAAUGGAUUUGAGAUGUCAUUUUUCUGUUAGAUUUAACUUCUAACACUGUCCAAAUACUUUAAGAAUAAUGGAUUUUAGGUUUAACAUGCCUAAUUGCCUCUACCAAUAUGGGGUUAAAUAAAGAUGUGCUUUCCAAAAAAAACUGCAAUAAAAUCGGGAGUGUGGAACCAACAUAACUUGGCAUUAAACAUCUCGUAAUGGUGCCCAUGUAAUUAGUAAAUGGUAGAAACAUUCUCAAGUACCCAUGUGAUGAUCACAUUCAACUCAAAAACAUAUCUCUGUAUCUCAAAUCCAUAACUUGAAUUCUGAAGCUUUUACUUGAAUUGUUCUAAUGUGUAAAUCAUUCGAGUUCUGUAAGAGGAGAUGAAAGGAAGUGAUAAAUUCUUAUAGUAUGCAGUUUCGCGAAUGCGCUACUAUAAGCCAUUACACCUAAUGGAUAAGAAUAUAUUAGACUGAUGUUCUUUCCAUGCUUCUCCUGUCAUCCACUCACUUGAGAAGAGAUCUGGCAAAAUGUUCGCGUGCAGUAGCAAGUGCUUGGCCUAUUGUCUGCAAAUAGAAGAAGAUAUAAAUCAAUAUACAAUAUGGUUGGUUCAGUCUAGUUGUUAACUUGAAUUGCUUUUCAUGUCUGAUUUAAAUUGAUGAAGAUCAUUGUUAUGGGGUUAGGUAAGGCAUACGAGAAUUGACAUACCUGCUCAGAUAAUGGAGCUCCAGAAUCAAUACUAUGACUCGCAACCUUACUUGCUAUAACAUUUGAAUCGGUCUCAAGAACAAUGCUGUGCAAAAAGAAAAGAACAUGUUAGUCCAGGUAGAAAUAGUAACCCUCUCCUGUAUAGAGGGUAUUAUUUGAAAAACAAAUAUGAAUACAACGAAAGGUAAACCACAAAACGUAACCAAGCUUAGGCAAGAAAAUACACUAUUAAACAACUUUCCACCAAAGAUACACUAUCAAACAACUUUCCACCAAAAAUACACCUCUAAGGAUAAGGUAAGAUCUCAAAAAUAUAGCACCGACGGCAAUCAACAAAUUCUUCAACUAGUGGCAUUCCCUUGAUAUUCAAAUCUCCCAUUUCAGUAUGAACUAAACAGCCACAGAUGAACCCCCCUGCCUACCAAACAGAAUAGCCAUUGCCCAAAACUAUACCCCAGCUAGUGGACUGGGAACAGCAAUCCCAAAUUGAGAUGCAAAACAUCCUAACAUGCACUACGCAUCAUUACCUUUGUUGUUAUAUCAUGCAAAAUCUUCAGUCUACUACUAAAAAUAAUGAGCUGAACCUUGGAAAUUUAAUUACCUGAAUUACACUACCAAACUUUAUUCACAUGAAGGUUUUAACUUAUAACUCACCCGCCAUCAACAAUUUCAUCAAGGCAUAGUAGAAUGAGGUCCAAAUUCUCAAGUGCUUCCUUUUUGUCCACAUUGCCUCUGCACAAAAGUAAGCCAAAAUGAGUAUCAAAAUCUGAUUACUUUAUAGUAUUGUCUACAAACAGAAGAGGUGAGAACAACCUGAGGAGAAUUCCAACUGCAUCAAAAAAUCCCUGAAGAACUGUGGCUAAAAUGAGCUCAUUUUCAUUAUCACCCCCAGUAACAAAAAAGUGAAGGUCUUGAACAAACUUGUAAACUACUAUGCUGUUCUCAAACAUCGCUAUCUCAGCUGCACUCGAAGAAAUUGUUACGAAUUAAAGAGUCAAAACAACAGAAUACCUCAUGCAAGGGAGUAGAAAUUUGCAAGAGCUAAACGAAAUUGACAACACUCAUAUUACAUAAAGAUAAAUAAUUAGAGCACAAAUUACCUUCUGUCCGUGCAUUUGUCUUUUGAGUUUUAGUGAAAACAGCUUUCUCAAAAGCUUCUUUUGCAUUAUUCGUUGGCCAGUCCUCUGAAUAAUACUUGACAGCUACACGUUUUCCUUCAGAAUCUAGGAGGAGGAUGUUCUUUACAGUAGGGCAUGACUCCUACAAAUAACAUCCAAUGAAGAGCUCAGAUAUUGCCAAAAGAUAAUAAGUUCAAUGCAGCAGUUAUUGUAGCAUUAUGAAUACUAGGAUAUACACCCUAGCCCCGUCCAAUUAAGGUCAGAUAUCUACUGAUUCAUGUUUAUCAUGGGCAAGCAAUUGCGUAUCACGCCUCCAAUAGUGUAAAAGCUUACAUUAUCUUAUUAUUUAACACAUUACUCUUCAAAGUUACAAGUCAACUAUCUCUUCCAUGUUAUCUCAAAUGCGAUACAACACCAAGUCCAACAAUGCUUCCAACAAGACCAGCCAAACAAGCAACAGAAUGGCAUAAUUUCGUGUUACCAGACACGAUUUCUAGCCUACGUUAGCAUACAGGAAAUAGAGAUAUUUUCAUAUCUAACACAGUGAACGCACAAAUUUUCUUUUGGGAAACCACAUCUGCCUUAUAUUGCAACCAAGAAACCCUACCUAACAAAUAUAUCCCCAUUACUGGCGCACCGUAAUCAUAUCCUAAUCAGCUUGCGCAAGCUUACUAGUUCCGUAUCAGCUCAAUUAUCAGAAAUUCAAUCAUAAUCCACUCAUAACACUACCUACAUUGUGCUCCACAUUCCUAUAACAUCAUCAAUCAAACCCAAAACAAGCAAACACCAAAACCUUACUACCUCAAUUGGCCAUGGCAGCUCAAAUUCCACCUAAACAUGUCAAAUUGAUCCCCUUUUUACCCUAAAUCACACUCCAUCACUGUCUCUCUUACAUUUCUCAGCAUCAAUUACAAUUCACAGCAACAAAACAAUCAAAGCUUGUGACUUUAUUAACAAAUUUCUUAGUUUCCGAUCAACAAUGCAUGCCUACACAAAUCUAUCUCCAAAAACUCGUAUUCCAAUUACGUCGUAGUUUCAGGAUCUGCAAGAUCCAGCUCAACCGACACUCGGAUCAAGAAGCUCACGGCAAACGUGGCACCAAACCCUAACCCUAGAAAUUACUACUUAUCAAAUCAACCAUAUAUAUAAGCAAAGAAAAAAAAAUUAGAGAAAAAAAAAAACUAACCAUUUUGAUCGGAGAAGCAGUUUUGAUUUUCUCAGAGAGACGAAGACGACGAACCCGAAAGUUUAUGUUUACAUGACACGUUUAUUAAUACCAAACCCACCACUCAAAUUUUGGUUAUUACUAAAGAGACCCCGAAAGUUUAUCUAUUUGUAUUUGGGACCACAAAGUUUGUGUUAAAUGGUUCUUGUUUUGCCAAUUUGCCCCACCGAUCUUGAGCUUAAAGAAAAUCCCAUAUUCAUGAGUCGAAUGUUACAGCUUCCAAUCCCAAAGGUGCCAUCUUUUUCUGUAAUUCAAUGUGAUUGUUAAUGGGUUUAGAUUUGGUUUUGGUAUUUGAGUUUGUUUUUGUGUUUGGUUUUUCAGGUAGCAGUAGUGUCAGUGUUUCAGAACCUGUUUGGAGCUCAUGGACGGUACUUUCCUGCAUGCCCUUUUAUUUGGUUUUGAUGUUUUGCUAUUGGGUUUAGCUAAUGUUUGAUCAGACCGGAUAAAAAUCUGAUCUUUUGAUUGUUUCUGCAUACCCUUUGUUUUACUGAUCUUCAUUCUGAUCAAUGUGAAUAGAAAGAGUAGAGUGGAAAGGAGUAUUGGGUUUAUUUGAUAGGUGUGCUACUUGUAAUGUGGUUGAUGCCGGAUUUGUGUUAUGAUGAUUACACUCUGUCUGUGAAUUGGGCUACCUAGUAUCUGUAUCGGCUGUAGUUGUAUUAUUGGGUGCAAAGUUUUCAAAACAUCCUUCAAUUUUAUAGUGAAAGAUUCUGUUUUUGUUUGGUUUAUUGACUGCUGACUGCAGUAUGCAUCCACUUUUCUUCUUUUAGAAUGCGUGGUUUUUGUAAUUUAGUACUCCGCUUCUUGAGUUUGUGAGAAUGAAUUCUGUACUUAAAAUACAGUUCCAGUAGCCGAGUAUAUGAGAUACUUCAGAACAAUGUCGGGGUGUCAUCCAGUAGAAACUCAGUUUCUGGAUUUAGAACUUUUUGCACUGGCCAAGGUGCGUCUAGACCUUUCAUUCAACUCGGAACUUCAAUUUAUAUACCAAAACUUUCCGAUUACUUUGAUAUAAUCCACUGAAAGCCAUGUUGAUGUCAUUGUUUCACACACAAUUGUUCGCGAAUUUCAGAUUCUAUAGCAUGGAAAGACUAAUCUUUCUACUAUGCAAUCACUAGUUCCUAAGAUGGAAAAGUUAAAUAAAGUCCCUGUUUUGAGAAAUUUGGUGAUCUAUCAGUUUGUCAACUUUGAGAUAUGCUUAAUCACGACCUUUAUCAUCAAACUUAAAAAUAUCAGUCCCGGUACUACUUUGGCAGUUAGGAGUAUAGGUCACCUACUGGUAGGUAAUGUCACUGCAAACCUUUUAGGAAUCUGUACUUUUCUCUCUGAUGCUAGUUAGUUAAAAAAAUAGAUGCCAUGAAUGUGUCUUAGUAUGUACAUUUGCAAUUCAGAUAUGUUUUUGAGUUGUUUUUGUUUUGUUUUUACUUGUGGGUUGAAUCUCUGUUCUUUCUUUCUCUGCUCCUUAAAAACUUUUCUGGCUUCCAAUAAUAUAGAGGCUCUUUUUCAUUAUAGGGAAGGAACCUACUGAUUGGUCUUUCUGACUCUAUGCUUAAUAUCAAAUUUUGUUAAUACUAGCAUUAUGAUUCUUCAUUGUAUAUCAAAUUUUAUUUCCGUAUCCAACGAUUUUCUGGCUUCAUUAGAUUUGUCAACAAAGAAGUGCGUGCCCUGCACCUCAAAGGAUAUGCGACCUAUGACUGAAGAAUCAGCAAGUAAUCUACUCCCGAAGGUUUGUGGUUCGCUGUAUUAUUAAUCACUUAAAGUAUAUGUGUUUCUUCUCUAAGGUAUGUAUUUGGCUUAGGUGGAUGGAUGGAAUUUGAUAAGUGAAAGUGGUUUGUUGAAACUGAAAAAGUCAUGGAGAGUUAAAUCCUUUACUAAAGGAUUGGAAAUGUUUAAGCUCGUAGCUGAUGUUGCCGAAGCGGAAGGUAUCUUAAGCCUCUUUUCUGAUUUCUAGAUCCCUGCAUAUAUAUAUAUAUAUACAAAGCUGUUCAGGUGCGGACGUCCACACCAAAGUUUUUGGUGCGGAUUUCUAUUUUUUGCACCACUUCCCGAUCGAAUUUCCUCGAAUUUCCUCAAAUUUCCUUCUAGACAUAUCUAGAUCAUCUCUGCAAAAUUUCAGCCAAUUUGGUGAUCGUUAAGGCCCUCAAACUUGCGUUUUUCUGUUAUAUACCUGAACCGGACAGAAUACAGGCCGUCGAUUUGUUUUUCGAUUUUGAGAGCCUUAACGAUCACCAAAUUGGCUGAAAUUUUGCAGAGAUGAUCUACACAAGAUGAUCUAGAUAUGUCUAGAAGGAAGUUUGAGGAAAUUCGAUCGGGAAGUGGUGCAAAAAUGGAAAUCCGCACCUGAUCAGCUGUGUAUAUAUAUAUAUAUAAUGAAUUUAAGCUGAAAUAGUUUAGAACAUAACUAAUCUGGAUUAGCAUCAUGAAUGUGUUUGUUGCAGGUCAUCAUCCAGACCUUCAUCUUGUUGGAUGGAAUAAUGUGACCAUUGAGAUAUGGACACAUGCAAUUGGUAAGGAGAUCCUAUGAAUGAAGUAACGUGAUGUAGUUGCACUUGUCUUUUGAUGAUAUUGUAUUGUUGUGCAUUAGAUUCUCUCUGAGAGUGUAGGUUUUCAUGUCUUCUAUAUUAUUAAUUUCAAUGUCCGUGUACCUUUCAUGUCCCGGACCAAUAAUUUGUCUGAGAUACAGCUUAUAAUCCUUAUAUAGAGUGAUUAUUCCUGAAGUUUUGACUGGUAAAUAGUCCGAUUAAUUCCUGAAUAAAUCUGACCUGCUGAUCGAAUACUUAAUUUGCUGUAAAUUUGCACCAAUUUCAAAAAUUUGCCAGCUGGAGAUUCAACUUACCAGAUUUUCUUCCAUACUGAUUUUGUAUAUUACGUUUACUGAAUGAUAAUAAUUCUUGAUAUGCAUUGUGCAGGUGGAUUGACAGAGAAUGACUUCAUACUUGCUGCUAAAAUCAAUGAACUUGAUAUGCAAAACCUGAUGAGGCGGAAAACUACUGAUUGAGCUGUGGGGAAAGCAUACCUAUGGAAACGGUUGAUAUCGUCACUUGUUCCUGAAAAGAAAAAUACGUAUAUCUUUUGGUGUAAAAUCAAGCAUCUGAGGAUGUACUGGUACAACAAGAAAUUCUUGCAAGUGUAUGAAGAUAUAUGAGAUUGCUGUUUCUUUUAUGCUUAAAGAUUGGCUAGAGUGAUAACUAACGAAAACUUCAUGAAUGACACUUAAAAAGGGCUGCAGCAAAAUCCUAUAUGGACAGAGAACAAAUUUAGCUAAGAAAUGAAAAUGCCAGCUUCAAAAGAAAAGGACAUGCAAAGAAUCACCAGGAAUACAAAUGCAUUAUACUCUACGAGCUAGUUCCAUCCAUGGUGCCACUCGACCCCUGUUUAAAAGCAACUGCCUUGUCCACAUCUGAGCCUUAAGACUAUACUGAGUAUACUCUUCACCAUCUUCACCUCCACUCUGCCACAGAAACUCAACACCAUAGUCCUUAGCAAGGUUUGCAAUCUCUUCCACACCACCAAUAUCACUGUCGACUUCAAGUUCUCCACACUUGCCAAGAUCCAAAACCUCAAGCUGUUUGCAGCCUUUCACUAGCGUGACGAGACUGUUCCCUUCAAAAUGACACUCCUCGAACCACAAGUACUUCAGAUUCGGCAAUGAUUCCACAAUAUUGCAGAUGUUUACCUUGUAAGCAUGAGCAAUUCUGAGACCUACAAAAUGCUUGCAGUGAAUACCAAUCUGCUUCAGGAUAUCGUCCAUAAUAGUUUCACGAGAAAAAACACCAACCCCCCUUGGAAACAACUCGUACAUCCUUUUCUUAUCCAAGUCAGCACGGAAUGUGCGAAUCUUCUUGAGGUUGCCACCCAAAUGCAAUUGCUCCAACAGCUUCCACUUCCCAAUCAGUUUCGCAAUAACCCUAGAAUGGUUAAAAAGUACUACAUCAUCUGGCAAGCUCAAAACCCUAAUCCCGGGACACGAACCCGAAACAUACCUCAAUGUUUCUUCAUUUAUAAAGCCAGGAAAUUUGAUCUCAACAACCUUCCCAUGACUCCGAGCCACUACCAUCCUCACAAAAGCAGUGAUGGAGAAACUAGUGUUCUUUUUAACUUGGCAUAAACCAACAAACUUGUAGUAAAAUGGCUCCAGACCAAGACUAUUGGGUUCGAGCAGUGGUAAAAACUCAGGGAAUGAGAGGGUUUGCCAGCACAAAGGAUCUAGGGUUGCUUCAUGCCAUGAUUUGCAGACAAAAGGGACACUCACAAGAAGUGAUUCCAUUCCGACUCUUCCAAACACAUUGAUUAAGCAGUCCAUCUCUAACUCCGCCCACUUUCUUCUUCCUGCAGUUUCUUUCAUUAUCUUACUUAGUGAUCGGAACUUCCGUUUUCUUCCCACGACGGGCGGUCCUCUCCGUCGAGCUGCUCUUUCUCCGAUGUUGGCCAUACUAAACCCUAAACGCUCAAAGAUAUAUAGAAGUAUAGCACCAAAAGAAAAAGAAAAAAAUAUAUAUAGAAGUAGGGAUCGAUAUAUAUAUACUGUAAUAUCGAUGAGUGAAGACAAUAGAAACUCACAUCAAUUAGGGUACUCACAUCCUAUUAUAUGAUUCUGUUAGGAUCAGAAUCUAUUUAUAAAAGGAAAACUAGGAAAUCAAAGGAAAAAAACUAAACAACAUUCAUAUCACUCGUUUAUAUCUAAUAAGAGAAGUUUACAGCCUUUAUAUAUCCUACAAAUCUAAAAUAACUACUCUAAUAACUACCAUACUUGGACCGAAUGGGCCUUGAGUUUACUACAACAAGUCUGGGCUAGGGGUCAUCAUUUGGCCCGCGGUCCUAAAAGCAUGUGGGCGGCCCGUCAGCCGGAAUGGCCAAAACCCGGUCCGACCCAUAGAAAAGUUCAUCUCGGCCCGGCCCAUAGGGCAUGAGACCGGGUUAGAAUGGAGGGUUCAAAGCCUCGGCCCGGCCCGUUACAUGCCCAUCAACGCCCGCCAAGCCUGACUCUAAAAAGCCCUCCCCAAAGCCCUAUCAAUUGUUUUAUAAAUAUUUUUAUGGAGUUAUUAGUUAAAUAUGUGAACUAAUUAAUGCAUUAAGUCAUAUUUUAUUUUGAUUUUUUAUUACAUUUAGUUCAACCAUUAACAAAUCUUAAACUUCCAUUAGCAAACACGUGCUCUUGUGGUCUGGAGCCGCUUGAUUCAGAUGAAUAAAGUUUAUUUAAGACCUUCAUGUAUAUCUCUGAUCCCAUAGAGAUGUUAUUAUGACCACAUUCAUAGGCUGCAUGUUCAGUUAUUCGGAAACUACCAAACUGACAAAGUAGUGGAGUUCAAUGAUAUCCAUUACAAGAGCAUAUCUCAUCGUAGUUGAUCCCAGUGCGUGUCAGUGAGAGACCUUAUACCAUAAGGUGAGUUUAAACUCUUGUUCUCACUACACUAUCUAACAAAGACAUAUUUGAUAGAGUUUAGUUUGCAGUGUCAGAGAUUUCACGCAUAUCUCUCUCAGCCUACUGGGUUCUUCAUCAUACCUUGUAGAUUUACCGACACAAAUCCAAUGGGCUAAUCAAUAGCAAGUAAAUCAUUAGAGCAAAGCAAAUCGGUAAAUUAGAUUUUUAUCAUGUAAAUAAGAUGUUUCUGUUAAUAUAUUCCCUCAGAUUCAUUAUAUCAUGUAAAUGUAUACUCUACGAAGUAGAUACAAAGUAGAGAUAUCUCAGAUUUAUCAUAUCAUGUAAAUGUGUUCUCCAUUAAGCAGACUAAGACACUAAUAAAGAUUAUGUUAUAGACUGAUAAUCAAAUCGCAAAAUCAUAUCAAGUAAAUGUGUUCUCUCUAUUAAGCACACCUUAAGAGAGAGGAUCCAUGAGCAAUGCUCCUCCAAGUGCUUAAGAGUUUAGAAGGAUGAGAGUAAUCUGCAUCACCAAUGUUACUGCCAAUAAAAUAUUUAUCAUAUGUCUAAUCUUUCCUUAUGUGGCGACAAUGACUUAUUUGUUCAAACCCUAUAUGGGCAAAACCACUGAACAGGGGCAACAACCGUAUUAGCACAAACCCACAAAGCAACAUUUCUUUACCUAUAAGAUAAACCAACGAGGCAGCAAUGGUUUUUUUUUUUGCAAUCUUUAUAGGAUAAACCGACGAGCCAACAAUGGCUUGUAAAUUUACAAUAUUUACAAUAUAACACGACAAAGGUAACAAUGAAAUUUUUUGCAAUCUUUACGUGAUAUAUUGACAAGGCAGCAAUAGAUAGUAAGCAAUCUUUAUAAGAUAAACCGAUAAAGCAACAAUGGCUUGUAAAUUUGUAAUCUUUACAAGAUAAACAGACAAGGCAGCAAAAUAAACCAUUUGUGUUGACCGAGGAGGCAACAAUUUCAGUUGUCUCCCCCAACAAUGCUUUAAUCUCAUAGGCAACAGUCAGGGACCGAUUCUCACAAGUCUUUUCAAAUCUUUCAUAUACCCUCAUUUCGAUGAGAUCAAAUGGCAGCCUUGUCACAAUUAAUUGUUACCUUGUAACAAUAAUUAAGGGACUGAUGAAAGAAGACACCCCCUAGAAUUUGAGGCAUGACAGCACGAAACCCAGUCAAAAAUGGUUCCUCAACCUCAAGAAAAGAAGGAGCACCAAUAUUUUGAAUUGAGAUUUCACGCAUGUCUCUCUAGAUUACUAGUUCUUCUUCAUACCUUGUAGAUUUACCGACACAAAUCCAAAGGGCCAAUCAAUAGCAAGUAAAUCAUUAAGGCAAGCAAAUCGGUAAAUCAAAUUUUUGUCAUGUAAAUCAGAUGUUUAUGUUACUGUAUUCCCUCAGAUUCAUUAUAUCAUGUAAAUGCAUUAUCUACGAAGUAGAUACAAAAUAGACACAUCUCAGAUUCAUCAUAUCAUGUAAAUGUGUUCCCAUUAAGCACACCUUAGGAGAGAGGAUCCAUAAGCAAUGCUCCUCCAAGUGCUUGAGAGUCUGCAUCACUGGUGUUACUGCCAGUACUGUUAGUAAAGUAUUUAUCAUAUGUCUAAAGGGGCAAAAACCGUAUCAGCACAAACCCACAAAGCAACAUUUCUCAACCUAUAAGAUAAACCAAAGAGGCAGCAAUGGCUUUUUUGCAAUCUUUAUAGGAUAAACCGACGAGGCAACAAUGGCAUGUAAAUUUGAAAUCUUUACAAGAUAAACCGACAGAGGCAACAAUAAUUAAGGGACUGAUGAAAGAAGAAACCACUCAGAAUUCGGGGCAGGACAACAUGAAACCCUAGUUAAAUAUGGUUCCUCAACCUCAAGAAAAGAGGGAGCACCAAUAUUUUGAUAUGAGAUUUCACGCAUGUAUCGCUCAGAUUCUUACUGGUUUCUUCUUCAUCAUAUUUAAAGGACUAAUCGAGAUCACAUCACAGGGACCAAUUGCCACUAAUCUUUUCAAAUCUUUCAUGCACGCUCAUUACGAUGGGAUCAAAUGGCAGCCUUAUCACAAGUAACUGUUACCAUGUAACAAUAAUUAAGGGACUAACAAAAGAAUAAACCCCUCAGAAUUCGGGGUAGGACAUCAUAAAACCCUAGUAAAAAAAGGUUCAUCAACCUCAAGAAAAGAAGGAGCACCAAUAUUUUGACAUGAGAUUUCAUAGAUGUCUCACUCAGAUUCUUACUGGUUUCUUCUUCAUCAUACUUAAAGGACUAAUCAAGAUCACAUCACAGAGACCAAUUGCCACUAAUCUUUUCAAAUCUUUCAUAUACGCUCAUUUCGAUGAGAUCAAAUGGCAGCUUUAUCACAAGUGAUUGUUACCAUGUAACAAUAAUUAAGGGACUGAUGAAAGAAUAAACACCUCAGAAUUCAGGGUAGGAUAGCAUGAAACCCUAGUCAAAAAUGGUUCAUCAACCUCAAGAAAGGAGGGAGCACCAAUAUUUUGACAUGAGAUUUCAUGCAUGUCUCGCUCAAAUUCUUACUGGUUUCUUCUUCAUCAUACCCAAAGGACUAAUCAAGAUCACAUCACAGGGACCAAUUGCCCCUAAUCUUUUCAAAUCUUUCAUGUACGCUCAAUUUGAUAGGAUCAAAUGGCAGCCUUAUCACAAGUAAUUGUUACUAUGUCACAAUAAUUAAGGGACUGAUGAAAGAAGAAACCCCUCAGAAUUCGGGGCAGGACAUCAUGAAACCCUAGUAAAAAAUGGUUCAUCAACCUCAAGAAAAGAGGAAGCUCCAAUAUUUUAACAUGAGAUUUCACGCAUGUCUUGCCCACAUUCUUACUAGUUUCUUCUUCAUCAUACCCAAGGGACUAAUCGAGAUCACAUCACAUGGACCAAUUACCGCUAAUCUUUUCAAAUCUCUCAUGUACGCUCAUUUCAAUGGAAUCAAAUGGCAGUUUAUCACAAGUAAUUGUUACCAUGUAACAAUAAUUACGGGACUGACGAAAGAAUAAACCCCUCAGAAUUCGGGGUAGGACAUGAUAAAACCCUAGUAAAAAAUGGUUCAUCAACCUCAAGAAAAGAGGGAGCACCAAUAUUUUGACAUGAGAUUUCAUAGAUGUCUCGCUCAGAUUCUUACUAGUUUCUUCUUCAUCACACUUAGAGGAUUAAUCAUGAUCACAUCACAGGGAAGAAUUGCCACUCAUCUUUUCAAAUCUUUCGUGUACCCUCAAUUUGAUAGGAUCAAAUGGCAGCCGUAUCAUAAGUAAUUGUUACCAUGUCACAAUAACUAAGGGACUAUGAAAGAAGAAACCCCUCGGAAUUCAGGGCAGGACAAUUUGAAAGCCUAGUCAAAAAUGGUUCCUCAACCUCAAGAAAAGUGGGAGCACCAAUAUUAAUUUUGACAUGAGAUUUCAAGCAUGUCUCGCUCAAAUUCUUACUAGUUUUUUCUUCAUCAUACCCAAGGGACUAACCCGAGAUCACAUCACAUGGACCCAUUGCCACUAAUCUUUUGUGUACCCUUAAUUUGACAUGAGAUUUCAUAGAUGUCUCGCUCAGAUUCUUACUAGUUUCUUCUUCAUCACACUUAGAGGACUAAUCAUGAUCACAUCACAGGGACCAAUUGCCACUCAUCUUUUCAAAUCUUUCGUGUACCCUCAAUUUGAUAGGAUCAAAUGGCAACCUUAUCAUAAGUAAUUGUUACCAUGUAACAAUAAUUAAGGGACUGACGAAAGAAUAAACCCCUCAGAAUUCGAUACACGACAUCAUAGAACCCUAGUCAAAAAUGGUUUAUCAACCUCAAGAAAAGAGGAAGCACCAAUAUUUUGACAUGAGAUUUCACGCUUGUCUCGCUCAGAUUCUUACUGGUUUCUUUUUCGUCAUACCCAAGGGACUAAUCGAGAUCACAUCACAGGGACCAAUUGCCACUAAUCUUUUCAAAUCUUUCAUGUACCCUCAAGUUGAUGGUAUCAAAUGGCAGCCUUAUCACAAGUGAUUGUUACCAUGUAAUAAUAAUUAAGGGACUGAUAAAAGAAGAAACCCCUUAGAAUUCAGGGCAGGACAGUCAUGAAACCCUAGUCAAAAAUGGUUCCUCAACCUCAAGAAAAGAGGGAGCACCAAUAUAUUUUGACAUGAGAUUUCAAGCAUGUCUCGCUCAGAUUCUUACUGGUUUCUUCUUCAUCAUACCCAAGGGACUAAUCGAGAUCACAUCACAGCGACCAAUUGCCACUAAUCUUUUCAAAUCUUUCAUGUACGCUCAUUUCGAUGAGAUCAAAUGGCAGCUUUAUCACAAAUAAUUGUUACCAUGUAACAAUAAUUAAGGGACUAAAGAAAGACGAAACCCCUCAAAAUUCGGGGUAGGACAUCAUGUAACCCUAGUAAAAAAUGGUUUAUCAACCUCAAGAAAAGAGGGAGCACCAAUAUUUUGACAUGAGAUUUCAUAGAUGUCUCGCUCAGAUUCUUAAUGGUUUCUUCAUCAUCAUACUUAAAGGACUAAUCAAGAUCACAUCACAGGACCAAUUGCCACUAAUCUUUUCAAAUCUUUCAUGUACCCUCAUUUCGAUGGGAUCAAAUGGCAGCUUUAUCAAAAGUAAUUGUUACUAUGUAACAAUAAUUAAGGAACUGAUGAAAGAAUAAACCCCUCAGAAUUCAGGGCAGGACAACAUGAAACCUUAGUCAAAAAUGGUUCCUCAACCUCAAGAAAAGAGGAAGCACCAAUAUUUUGACAUGAGAUUUCACGCAUGUCUCGCUCAGAUUCUUACUGGUUUCUUCUUCAUCAUACCCAAGGGACUAAUCGAGAUCACAUCACAUGGACCAAUUGCCACUAAUCUUUUCAAAUCUUUCAUAUACACUCAUUUCGAUAGGAUCAAAUGGCAGCCUUAUCACAAGUAAUUGUUACCAUGUGACAAUAAUUAAGGAACUGAUGAAAGAAGAAACCCCUCAGAAUUCGGUGUAGGACAUCAUGAAACCCUAGUCAAAAAUGGUUCAUCAACCUCAAAAAAAGAGGAAGCAACAAUAUUUUGACAUGAGAUUUAACGCAUGUUUCGCUCAGAUUCUUACUGAUUUCUUCUUUAUCAUACCCAAGGAUUAAAAUCUCUGCGAUAUAUCCUCCGAUAUCUCCCUUUUUCGAAGGACCGAUAUAUCUUUAGGGGUCAAUAUCUUAUCUUCCACCGUAUCUACGAUAUUUCCCCGAUAUUUAGGAAAUAUCUCCGACAUUUAUGAUAUUUUCGAUAUAUCACUGACAUAUUAAAAAAAUAUUUGUAAAAAAUUGAAAUGUUAUCCGGAAGAGAAGUANNNNNNNNNNNNNNNNNNNNGCAUGUCUCACUCAGAUUCUUACUGGUUUCUUCUUCAUCAUACCCAUGGGACUAAUCGAGAUCACAUCACGGGGACCAAUUGUCACUAAUCUUUUCAAAUCUCAGAUUCUUACUGGUUUCUUCUUCAUCAUACCCAAGGGACUAAUCGAGAUCACAUCACGGGGACCAAUUGCCACUAAUCUUUUCAAAUCUUUCAUGUACUCUCAUUUCGAUGGGAUCAAAUGGCAGCCUUAUCACACAUAAUUGUUACCAUGUAACAAUAAUUAAGGGAUUGAUGAAAGAAGAAACCCCUCAAAUUUCAAGGCAGGGCAACAUGAAACCCUAGUAAAAAAUGGUUCGUCAACCUCAAGAGAAGUGGGAGCACUAAUAUUAAUUUUGACAUGAGAUUUCAUGCAUGUCUCGCUCAAAUUCUUACUGGUUUCUUCUUCAUCAUACCCAAGGACUAAUCGAGAUCACAUAAGGGAUUGAUGAAAGAAGAAACCCCUCAGAAUUCAGGGCAUGACAACAUGAAACCCUAUUAAAAAAUGGUUCGUCAACCUCAAGAAAAGUGGGAGCACUAAUAUUAAUUUUGACAUGAGAUUUCAUGCAUGUCUCGCUCAGAUUAUUACUGGUUUCUUCUUCAUCAUACCCACGGGACUAAUCGAGAUCACAUCACAGGGACUAAUUGCCACUAAUCUUUUGAAAUCUUCCAUGUACCCUCAUUUCGAUGGGAUCAAAUGGCAGCCUUAUCACAAGUAAUUGUUACCAUGUAACAAUAAUUAAGGGACUGAUGAAAGAAGAAACCCCUCAGAAUUCGGGGUAGGACAUCAUGAAACCCUAGUCAAAAAUAGUUCAUCAACCUCAAGAAAAGAGAAAGCACCAAUAUUUUGAUAUGAGAUUUCACGCAUGUCUCGCUCAUAUUCUUACUGGUUUCUUCUUCAUCAUACUAUUAGCCAAAAAUCCACCAAGUAUAAGGGAUACAAGUAAUAGUAUAGGGAUUUAAGGAAGGUUGUCGAACCGACGAGGAUUGGAUUCUUUUCACUAGCUAGGGAGUUAACCUUAGGAGAGCUAGAAUGGGCAAAUGUAUAAUCACAAACCUAAACACACAAGAAAAUCUAGGCUCAUGGUGAGUAUGUGCAACAUGGAGUAGUGAUUUGAUUUUGGGUAUUUGAAGUAGUUAACUAAACUAAACUAGAUGCUCAAAUGUAAACUAAAUUACUCUAAACUAAACUAGCGGGAUAAUGGAUGAAUGAAGUUAGGAUUUGAAUUGUCUACCACUAACCUCCCUUGCAAGUAUUGAUGCAAAUCAAAAUGAAUGAUGCUAAGUUAAUCAACCAAUUUCUCUCCUUGCAUCCCUCGCGGGUAUGACAAGGGACAUGCUCUUUUUGUGGUAUCAAGCAACCCCUCUCGGGUAUAGUACUUAACUACUGUCAUGCAUUUCAAUCUUGUUAGGCAUCUAAUGCAUUACCUUAAGUGCAUAAAGUUUGGAGAUGAAGAAACUAUGCAAACCAACCAAGCUUAUCUUUAUCAAGCAACCCCUCUCGGGUGUAAUACUUAACUACUGUCAUGCAUUUCAAUCCGGUUAGGAAUCUAAUGCAUUACCCUAAGUGCAUAAAGUUUGGAGAUGAAGAAACUAUGCAAAUCAACCAAGCUUAUCUCUAAGUGAUUGUAAUUCACAACCCCUACAUACACACCUAAUGUGCUUUCAUGCUUUAACAUUCAAAGGUUACCAAGCUCUAAACAUCAUAUCAUAUCAUGACAAACACACAUACUCAAAGUGGUAAAUUCUAAGCAUAUGCAUUCAACUCUUGAACUAGCAUGUAGGAAUGUUAACUAAAAUUGCAUCAAAUCAUAAUAUAACAUCAAUCCAUACAAGAUUGGUUAGUGUUUUCAACCCUAACCCCAACAAAGUACUACUCACUCAUAAUUACAUAAACAAACUUCAUAAUCAAAUUAAACAUCAAAAUAGAUCUAGAGUUUAAGAGAGAGAGAGUUGGCUUAGUGGUGUGUUGAUUGAUCCCCAAGCUCACGUCUUGGUGGUACGUGGUGGUGAUGAAGGUGAUUUCCUCUCCUUCUUGCUCAUGUUGUUUGAUGACAAGAGAUGGUGAAGCUUGAUCUAUGCUUUGUGUGAAUAGGUGGAGUGGAUGGAGAAAAUGGUAUAGAUAAGAGAAUGGAGAAAUGGUGUAGUGGUGGUGGUGUUAAUGGAGGUUUGGGUAAGAGAUGGUGGUAGUGAUGGAGGAGAUAGAGUAGAUUGGGGGAGGAAGAGGAAAAAGAUGGGUUUGGAUUUUGGGAGAGGGAGAUGGAGGUUUUGUGGUGGAAAAGAGAGAAAAAGGUAGAGAGUGGUGAAUGGGUGGAUGAUGAAUGUUGUAGUGGAUAGAUGUAUGUUUAUUAUAUAGAAGAAAGAUAAGUGAAAAUGGGGGAAUGAGAAAGUCAAAACAGCCCCCUUCCCUAAUUCAACUGUAAGGGAGAAGGAAGAGUGUGAGAGUGUCCAUGAAUUGCCAAAAAAAAGAUAAAAAUGUAGGGAAAUAAUCGCAUAGGUUAGAGUAGGCAAUGAUGAUGUUUAAAGCAUGGUGAUGUCUAUUAUCCAAAGAGUAAUAGAAUGAAUUUCAUGUUGUUACUCAAUCACCAUUAAUCUCCUUGCUCCUCCUUUAUGGUGACUGGAAAAGACAUGACACCACCAAAAGAGGUGGUGAGCCGUCAUUUGUGCAGUCAAUAGUGGUGGUUCGCCGGAAUCCGAAAAUCUACGUUUUGCUUCACAUUGGACCGUCAUUUUUCCUAGCUCCGAUUCUCCAUGUUAAUGCCAAAAAUGCAUAUUUUCAUCACUCUUGCAAUAUUCCUAGAUAAAUAGAAAAUGAUUUAGUGAAAGAAAAAAUGAACUCAAAAACAAGGCAAAUUCAAUAUUUAGGGGAAUGAAAAUGUGUGUAAAUUAUGGUCUAACACAUACCCAAUGGACUAAUCGAGAUCACAUCACAGGGACCAAUUGCCACUAAUCUUUUCAAAUCUUUCAUGUACUCUCAUUUCGAUGGGAUCAAAUGGUAGCCUUAUCACAAGUAAUUGUUAUCAUGUAACAAUAAUUAAGAGACUGAAGAAAGAAUAAACCCCUCAGAAUUCAGGGCAGGACAGCAUGAAACCUUAGUCAAAAAUGGUUCCUCAACCUCAAGAAAAGAGGGAGCACCAAUAUUUUGACAUGAGUUUUCACGCAUAUCUCGCUCAGAUUCUUACUGGUUUCUUCUUCAUCAUAUUUAAAGGACUAAUCGAGAUCAAAUCACAGGGACCAAUUGCCACUAAUCUUUUCAAAUCUUUCAUGUACCCUCAUAUCUAUGGGAUCAAAUGGCAGCCUUAUCAAGUAAUUGUUACCAUGUAACAAUAAUUAAGGGAUUGAUGAAAGAAGAAACCCUCAGAAUUGGGCAGGACAACAUGAACCUUAGUCAAAAAUAGUUCCUCAACCUCAAGAAAAGAGGGAGCACCAAUAUUUUGACAUGAGAUUUCAGGCAUGUCUCGCUCAGAUUCUUACUGGUUUCUUCUUCAUCAUACCCAAGGGACUAAUCGAGAUCACAUCACACGAACCAGUUGCCACUAAUCUUUUCAAAUCUUUCAUGUACCCUCAUUUUGAUAGGAUCAAAUGGCAGUCUUAUCACAAGUAAUUGUUACCAUGUAACAAUAAUUAAAGGACUGAUGAAAGAAGCAAUUGUUACCAUGAAUGUUGUUUAGCAGUGUUUCUUGUGAUCGGAGAACCCCUCAGAAAAAUCUUAGGGGUUACUUGAAAGAAGAAAGAUAGAACUAAAAGAAGUAACCCCUUAGAAACCAUGAAAGUUAUGCAGGGUUACUUGUGAUCGAAACCGUAAAAAUCUUAGUGAUCAGAACUUCCGUUUUCUUCCCAUGACGGGCGGUCCUCUCCGGCGAGCUACUCUUUCUCCAAUGUUGGCCAUACUAAACCCUAAACGCUCAAAAAUAUAUAGAAGUAUAGCACCAAAAGAAAAAGAAAUAUAUAUUUUUUUUUUGGUCAAGAAAAGAAAAAUAUAUAUAGAGAAGUAGGGAUCAAUAUAUAUACUGUAAUAUCGAUGAGUAAAGACAAUAGAAACUCACAUCAAUUAGGGUUCUCACAUCCUAUUAUAUGAUUCUGUUAGGAUCAGAAUCCAUUUAUAAAAGGAAAACUAGGAAAUCAAAGGAAAUAAACUAAACAACAUUCAUAUCACUUAUCCAUAUCUAAUAAGAGAAGUUUACAGCCUUUAUAUAUCCUACAAAUCUAAAAUAACUACUCUAAUAACUACCCUAUUUGGACCGAAUGGGCCUUGAGUUUACUACAACAAGUCUGGGCUAGGGGUCAUCAUUUGGCCCGCGGGCCUAAAAGCCCGUGGGCAGCCCAUCGUCCGGAAUGGCCAAAGCUUGGCCGACCCAUAGAAAAGCCCAUCUCGGCCCGGCCCUUAGGGCAUAAGGCCGGGCUAGGGCGGAGGGUUCAAAACCUCGGCCCUGCCUGUUACAUGCCCAUCAAAGCCCGCCCGGCCUGACCCUAAAAAGCCCUUUCAAUUGUUUUAUAAAUAUUUUUAUGGAGUUAUUAGUUAAAUAUGUGAACUAAUUAAUGCAUUAAGUCAUAUUUUAUUUUGAUUUUUUAUUACAUUUAGUUUAAUCAUUAACAAAUCUUAACUUUUUUUUUAUAAUUUUUUUUUUAUUUGAUAAAAUUCUAUUAGAUAUAUGUAUAUAAUAGGCCGACCGGCCUGGCCUAUCUAAAAAGUCCGACUCGACCCAUCUAAAAAAGCCGGCCUGACCUGGCCUAUAAGCCUGUAAGGCCUGGACAUGCGGGUUUUGAUAAUUUUUUAAGUUAGUCCCAUCCUGGCUCGGCUCUAAUAAAAAAUAAAAUAAAUAAAUUAAAUAAAAAAAACAUAAUUGAGGCCCGACCCGAGCCCCUAGCCAGGCGGGCGUUUUUUGAUGAUCAGGCUAUGCCCAGUACAUAAAAAGGCUGUGAAAUACAUCACCUACGUACAUAUGUGAAAGAGGAAUACGAGUUAGUAUCCUAACAGAUUCAGUCACGUUCUCUUCAGUGGGAUUGAGUUGGGCAGUUCUAUCUCAAUUACAGGGAUUUUAACGUACCAAUUAUAUUUAAGGAAACAGAGAGAGUGGUUAAAAAGGGAGAAGGCCCAAGUCCAAGACCCUAGCCCAACUAGAUCCCAGCAGCCGCAAGAAUGGCCGAAAACUAAUCGGAAGAAAGUAGAAACUAAAUAUAUAGUAAUAAAUAAAUUUCCUUUCAGCAGAUGUGCCCUUAAUACUGGAGACAAAGAAAUUUACCGGCACUCUUUAUCAUUACACAAUUAACCAACUGAGAUAUAUAGCACAAAACAUGAAAACUACACGGUGGUCGACGGAUCCGAAAUCCCAUCAUGCAUGAACUUCACUAAUAGUUGAAGCUAGACUUGCUUGCUGUAGCACUCUUCUUAGUGUAGACAGACUUGGUGACCUUGAGCUGUGUUUUGUACUCGGUGGUGUAUCCCUGAGUUUUGUCGACAUACUUGUCUAUCGAGGUGUACUUGGCCUCUUGUUUGUAGCCGGACUGCCCACUGCGGUUGUCCACGAACUCUCCUUCCUUGUAACUUUUAGUGAAGUUACUUGAAGCCCCACAGUACUCGUCGUUGUACGAUGACUUCACCUGGCUUUGCAUUUCGUCGGCGUUGAUGUUUCUCGCCGGAGCAACAGUUAUGAAGCCGCAAUAAGCCUUUUUCGUCAUUCUGUAACUAUAUGAAGACGUGGGUUGUGAUCAUAUGCAAAGAGGGUCUUGUCUUUUAUAUGGUAACAAGUCGGAACAUGGAUAUUAACUAUGAUUUAUGAAGAUGUGGGAAUCAAGAACGUAUAUUGUGAGGAGAGGAGGGGUCUUUUAUCUGUUUGUUUUGAGAACAAAGGUGUAAAUGUCAUUAUCGGUUAUGGUGAAAGAGACCAUCCAACUUUCCCAGUUCUUCAGGUGAGAAAGGAGGGGAAGUUGUUUAACCAAUACUAAUACUAAUGCAUGUCAUACAAGUGUUGUUUUAAGGUUUUACAGUGCAAUGUUUUUUCGUAUACCUAUUUUCAGUUUGUCCUUUAAUGGACUCCUAAAUCUCAAGAAUAAUAAGUACCAUUUAUAGUGCAAACCUAAAGGCUAAAGCUAUGAUUUCUUUAAUUUUUUGAAAUCCUGAAAAAAGUGAAUUAUCAUACUGAACAUAUAUAAGUUCAAUUGUCUGAUAGGAAUUUGCUGCCAGCAGAUAAAGGUAGCGAUCUUUGAAUUGAAACGGCCGGCAUAAAUGCAAAUAUGAUGAUUUAGCAGCUAAUAAGAAUAUAGAGAAACUAUGGUUCGUGCAUGCAGCAACAAAUGAGUUCAAAAACCAAAGCAUGUCUCGACUUUAAUUUUGGUGCUGGCUUUUGCUGGGUCUGUUUUAUCAUUGCUGGGUAUAACCAUUACAAAACAAGGAUGGGUUUGGAAAAUACGUAUAAUCUUUUACGCCUUAGGUGUAUUUAGAUAUUUGUGGGUAUUUAGAAGAACGAAAAGAGAUCGAUGCUGUAGAGCAAGACUAGUUGUAUAACAUUAAGAAAACAUUACUAAGAAAAAAAGGAUUACACAUAGUAAACAAAAGCACGUACGUAACAUAAAUAGAUAUAGAGCAGUGGAUACCAUAGAUCUACUACAGUCUAUUCCCAGGACUCUAACCCAAAGAGACUUCCGUUAAUUCCUUCCCCUACAUCAUUGGAGAUACACUAUUAAUUAACCAUGCCCGCAAUUUGGACAACAGCAUCGGCAGCUGCAACAACAGGUGAAAGAAGAGGUAUGAGCGUUCCGACUCCGAGCACUGGAAGAAUAACAGCAGCUACUGAUGCAGCAGCUGAAAUCCAACGGAAAACCGAAACAAAAGCCCGAAACCACGACAUUGUGACUCAAGGACGACUUCAACUUUACACUCUAGAUUAGUAGACUGAUAGUGAGUCUGAAACUGUAGGAAAGGCUGUUGAAUGUAGGAGGUUUGCGCACUAUAUUUAUAGCAGGUAAUUUAGAUGGGAACCUGUGCAGCUGAGCUCUAUCGGUCUCUUCGUUUAGUGUACCUCUAAUGAACACAUUUAAUUACUUCGAUUCUUUAAAGAUUAACGGCAUGCGCGCGCAUGCGUCUUCAUGCACUGUGUUUUGGAAAUAUGAGACUUUCAUGACAUAAUUACUGCUUCUAGUUUAUUGUGAACGUCAUAAUAUUAUAUUUGUUGCCUUACCCACAGUUUUAUUUCCCAAUUUCCUCUCUUGUUUUUCCAAUUCGCCGGUGAAGAUCAAUUUGGAUUAUUUUCAGAUUUAACAAGAUUGAUUGAUAUCCCUGACGAUGUUUCUAGUUUUCUUUUCCUUUCUCUUACUGGGUUUGUUAUUACUAGCUGAUUUUUAUCGCUGAAAUAGGUUAAUCUCUACACCUCUGCAAGACUGCAACAAACCCAGCAGCACCCUGAUAAGAAUUUCUCUAUUGGGUCUCCUUCUACACCCUGAUGACAACUUUCAACAUUUAAUUUGGUUUUGAUUGAUUUCAAUCCAAAACUUGCUGCGGAUUUCAAUCCCAAUUUUUGUUCGCCUCUUUUGGUCUCAUCAGAGGACGGAGGAGGAAGUUGAUUUCGGUGGGAGAAAAUUUUUUUUCGAUGAAGAAGCCAGUUCUGGGAUUGAUUCACGAGAAAUAAAGAGAAAAUAAAGAAAAAUACUUUUUCAAAAUUAAAAAUAAGAUUAGAGUUAACAGAGUUAUUGUGGUGUUAGGCUAGCGAUGAGAUGUCAAAUUUUAGUUGGUGGCACAGGGUUUUUGGGCAGAGGUGAUGUGCUUCCCCUUAAGAACUAAUUGGAAUAAAUCUUAGCAUCUUACGAGUAGUUAAGACUCAAGAGGCCAACAAAAGGCCAUUUUGCAUUUCUUCUGGGGCUUCUUCUGAAUUUACACCCUGCUCAUAUCCUAUAGAAUGUUCAUUUUGUAACAUUUCACAGUUGUUCACAUCAUCAUAAGUAGUAGUAGUAGUAGUAGUAGUAGUAGUUUAACCUGCUUCAAAUGAUGUUAAUAUAUUAUGCUUCAUUGAUUAAUGAUGUAAUCCAACUUCUAAGAGGUGAUUCUGCAUGCUGAGGUCCUCACUAGACUCGACAGCAAAAUUUGACAGCAAACCUGCAAAAUCAACCAAACCCCAUCAAAAUGUAGUCACUACGCAGAUAGGAAGUUACAUAAAUGUAAGAAUCACUGUGCCAUUACAGAAUCAAACAACCGGGAAACCCUUACCCCCCCCCCCCCCCCCCUUUUCCUAGUCUAGAAAAGCUCAGGUUUAUCUUCCUUUUGUCUGUACAUAAGUUGUGGCUCGUCUUAAAGAUAUUGAAAUGAUCCUCUCAGUAAUGGAGGUAAUCUAGAGCAUGACUCAUAUAUGAAGACCUUAAGGUUACAAUGUCAGGCCAGUUUAUCAUACUAUACCACAGUAAUUGAAAUGCCAACUCCAUGUCUCCCAAAGGAUACAAGGUUUAACACGCAUUGUGCAAUAAAAGAAGAAUAAUGACACCAGGAAAACCCAGCGCACAACUGCACAACUGAAGUUCCAACAUACCAUUCUAUAUUAGUCUAAUAUCUAGGAGAGCUAACUCACUCAAACUUCCUUUCAAAGAGCAGGACCUCUGAUACCAAAUUGUAUUACUAGUUUACCUUAUACGAGUUCUUCCUAAAUUAUCAAGCUAAGUGGCCCGGAGAAAAGUUUUAUCCAUUUUUGAGAUAUUAAUAUACCCAUAUGAUCAAAACCUUAAGUGUGAGUACUGAAAACCCAAGGCCAUCGCCAUGUCUCCAAUAGUAUCCAGCUUUAUCAUACAUCAGAUCUUGCACUGUUCAUUGUUAGAAUGAAUAUCUUUUUCAUGUCUGAAAUUAUAGAAGAAUCAUCUCACCAGUAAAACCUAGCAAGCACAGUUGAAGUUCGUUUAUACCAUUCUAUAUUAAUCUAAUAUCCAGUAGAACUAACAAAGAAACUCAAAUGUCACAAAGAACAGUAUAUGUGCUCUAGGAAGUUGCAUUCACUAGUUUACCUAAUUCGAGUUCUUCCUAAAUGACUAAGUCAAGUGUCGCAGGAAAAAAGUUUUAUUCUUAAAUAAAACCGGUAAUUACAACACCCACAUUGAUUGUAGUUAUGGCUGGAGUUCAGAAAUUUAGUGUAUUCCUGCUCAAGCGGCAGAUGGGCAAUGCAAGUUGAAUGUGAUAUGUUCACUGCUCUGUGCAUUUCAGCUUAUGUUAUUGUUGCCCAGCAUAAAGAUCUCACCUAAUUCAAACCUUACAAGCAGAUACCUCAUCUAAUUUCUCCAACAAAAGAUUUGAAUGCCAUAAUAUCAACUAAAGAACAAUGCAGCUCCGGAUCUACUUCAAGCAUACUUAUAUUCAGCUAACACUACAACUACUCGAUGCAAGAAUAGAAAUGCCGAAAAAUACAACCAUAUUAUCAAUGUAGUGUACCUGAAGCUUGAAGCUCAUCUCAAGACAGGCUUUUGCAGAAGAGCAGUCAAGUAAACCUCCCCAUUCUUCUCAUUCUUACUCGCCGUCGCCCACUUCACUCUCCGGUACCCCAACUUCCCAAUCAACGGCCCGAAAACCUUCUCAAGAUCCACCCCCUUGCUAAAGAAAUGAUCCAACCACAAGUACCCUCCUACCCUCAACACCCUAUCCGCAUCGUACAACAAAAACUCCAACGCCGUCACCGGAAUCCACCUGUUCACCGCGUGCCCGCACCGCACCAGAUCCAACACCCCGUCAAACACGGGGAACCGCUGCUGCAGCGGCACGUGCAGCGGCACCAGCCCCCUCAGCGCCACCGCCUCGUUAUUCGGACUGCCGAAAUUCAUGGUGGUGGUGACAACUGUCACAUUGUAGAGCUUCAUCCUGGCGGCGAAGGUCCCGGUGCCGCCGCCGACGUCCAGCCCGAGGCGGAGGACGGCGCCGGCGGCCUUGGCGAUCUGGAAGAACUGCGGGAUGGGGAGGUCCAGCUCGGACUUGUAGGUCAUGAAGUUGGAGAGCUCGUGGCUGAAGUCGAAGCCGGAGCUGAGGCCACGGCGGUUGAGGCAGCUGAAGCUUUUGCAGGCGUACUUGUCCCAUAUCACAUUCUGAUCCGGGAGAGAGGGAGGGAAAGCGUCGUGGGAGAGCGAUGACGUGGGCUUCUGCGGCGUUCUGGAGAAGCAUCUCCGGCGGGGGAGGGGGUGGCAGCCGCGGAGGAUGAGGCUCUCGGCGACGUCGUCGGCGUCGGCGGGGCAGAGGGAGAAGGGAGUGUAGGUCAUGUACUUGUUGAGGAGGUCGGGGUGGUUGUGGCAGGAGGAGGCGAUCGGGGAGAGGCGGGAGUAGAGGAGGAGGUCGGCGGAGGAGGCGGCGGCGGCGCGUGGGGGAGGAGGGUGGUGGCGCGUGAGGUGGUUGAUGGUGGCGCGUAUGGUUUGGAGCUGGCGGAGGAGGUGGUCGGGGACGGCGGUGUUGGGAGGGGUGGGGGAUUGGAUGGUGGAGGAGAGGUGGUAGAGGGAGAGGAUGUUGGUGGCGACCAUGGCCAUAAGCAGAAGCAAGUUAAGACCCAUUGUGAAACCCAUCUUUGGAAAAAUUGGGUUUCAGAUUUGGAAAGAUUUGAGCUUUUUUCUUGAAGUCAGUGAGCGUUUGACUUCAUAGUGAAGUAAGCAGCUUUAUUAUUACGGUGGAAGCAGUUGCAGAGCCCAGUUGGGGUUAGAUUUGUAAUUAGGAGGAAGUUUGGGGGUGGAAACUGGGAAGAGAGAGUUGCAUCACUUGCAUGGAUUUGGAUUUUGAUUUGGUUUCGUUUGUCAUUUCGUGGGGUUAGUUGGGUCAAAAGUGUGAAAAUAAUUAGAGUGGGAUGGACUGGAGGCACGUGACUUGUUGGACCCACUUGAACCUUUUUACCUUUUUUUUUUAUUAAAUGGGAUUAUUUUUUUUCAUGCAGAAUCUAUUCCAUGAUUUUAUAUUCCUGCCUUUCUGAUUCCAUGAUUAAGAGAAGCAUUUACUGUUUUCCGGGGACGGCUGUUCUUGAGUCCGACGAUGUGUUUAACUCCGGAACUAGAAAGAUGUGUUUUAAUCCGAGUCCUGUAUCUUGUAGCGAAUCCUGGUAACCACAUAAAGCAUUAGAGUGAUUGGUUUAUUUAUGAAUAUAUGUUACAUGGAGUUUAAUUGUCUUAAUUCAUACAGAUCAAUGAAGUCACACUAAACACGUCUUUAGAUUUUCUUACCAAAAUUUUAAAAUAAAAAGACAAGCUUUUAUGAAGCAAAGAACACCAAAGUUAUGAGUGAAGGAUAAUGAAGAGAACAAAAUCACAUAGAAGUGCAAACUAAGAGUUGAUCUUAAGUUUGGCUUUCAUAUAUUAUCAUCAAAUCAAGUGAGCGUACACUAUUGCUUUACGCGAUACUGUUUUUCAGUGAGCUAUGAUAUGUUAGUAAGUUAUAAAUCCAACAUAUCAUAAGUUGGAAUAUUCUCACUCAUACAUUUAAGUUGAGUGAGUGGUUAAGAGUUUUUUGAAGUGGUAAAAAUUAGCUUCUACCCUUUAAUUACAUAAGUGAUAUAUAUAUAGUUCCAUUCAAGACUAGGACACCGUUUUGAAAAUUAAAAUAUGGUGUUCUUCAUUUCGCUCAUUUUUAGGUCAUAUUUUCACAUCUUCACCGUUCAAUGUCUAGAACAUAGUGUGUAGAUCAUUCCUGUAAAAUUUCAUCCAAUCUAGAGAUCAUUUAGGUACCGAAUUAGAUUAAAUGAAUCAACUGAACAAAAUAUGUCCAAAAUCUCCAAAUUGGAUUACCCUAAACGUUUAUUAAGACUCUGGAAACAAAACUGGAUUGUGUUCUACUACUACGUGUAUAGCAAUGGGCCGAUAUAGGGACGAUACAACCUAAAUGGAACGAAUCCAAUGAACUGGGCUUUUUCGUUCUUGUUUUUCUAUACCAAAGCUUAUAUACACUUUCUGAGUGCUGCGUGCAACAGUACAAUCUGUAUAUAAAGAUCUCAGACUCCGCGUCCGACAAACGCAAACGCAAACACAAACACAAACUCAAACUCAAACUCAGCCGGACUUAGAUCUAUCUCUACUCACAACUUGAAUCAAUGGUAAAUUCUCUCCCUCACUUUCAGUUUUCCUUUUACUUCCCACUAGAUAAUUUUGCCAUACUUUGAAUUAGGGCUAUGAAUGUUUUUAACUUUUCAUAUUCAGAUUUCCACUAAUUAUAUAAAUUAUAGCUGGGUUUUAAUCAAUCUGUACUCUUUUAUGGUCUUCAAUAUGGAUUGGGAGCUGAAAUUGAGUAGGCUGAUAGUACCCAGAAGCUUUGCGGUCUUUUAUAUAGUUGUAGUUAUCUGGGUUAGCUAUGUUAUAUUGUUAUUGGGUUUUCUACUACCAGCCACAGAAAGUAAUCAACUUUGAGGAAUUACAAUCACUAGAGUUUGUGAAACAUGGUCUGAAAGAGUUAGGUAGUUAGUUCUAUACUUCUAUCCUCCAGUUCAGGCUCAUAAGUAAUGGGUUUGGAAUUGUGCAGGAGUUGGCUCAUGUAAUGAUAAGUGAAGUUAUGAACCUUUUGCAGUCUUGUAAUGCAAUUACGGUGCUUUAGAAAGCACACAGAACUGUAUGGUUUAGUUGUCUGGUUUGUCAAGCAAUGAACCAGUUCAUGUUCUCAACCAUGCCUGGCUAGAUAUCAAAGUUAACUUUUUCAAAUUGAUCGGAUAACCAGAAGCACUGCCUUCUUUCCCUUGUUUUUCUUGUAAGUCUAUACAUGUAAAUGAAUGGAAGUCAAAGACUAUAUGUUAUUUAUAGUUGGCAUAUUAUUUCAAUUAUGUGUUUUUUUUUAGUAUGAUUGGGUUUGUUAGCUAUUUGGUUUCCCUGUCAUUGGAUGUUCGUUCUUUAACUUUAUGAAUUCCGUUAUUAGGCUGAUCCCGAACUCGAAGCAAUCAGACAGAGGAGAAUGCAGGAGCUUAUGGCUCAACAAGGCGCUGUAAGUACAACUUAGUUUAUCUGAACAUCUGUGCUACAAAAAGAGGUUGUCUUCUUGGCGCUUUUGUGCUGACCUCACUACUUUAUAUUGAUAAGCAGGGAGGAGCCCGAGGGCAGCAAAAUACUGAACAGCAGAAGGCAAAUGAUGAUGCCAAGAGGUUGGGUUUUAAAUUAACUUUGGGUGUUACUUCUUUUUCUUUUGUUCUGAUAAUGUUCUUAAUAAUCUCAUAACAUAAGGCAAAUAAAUGUAGGGAGGCAGAAGAACGGAGACAGAUGAUGCUUAGUCAGAUUUUGUCAUCUGAAGCUCGUGAAAGACGUAAGUUGAUAUCUGAAAUUGGCAGUUGAUUUUCUAAUUAGUUUUACCCUGUAUUUUCCUUUAUUAGUCAUCUAUUAAGGACAAAACUAUUUCUGAUUUAAUAUGUUUGGAACUUUGGAUCACUGUUAUUGACUAGUAAAUAUAAUGUAGAUGUCUUGGAAGGAUAUUUAGUUUUUUCAAAACUAAGAAUGACGGAGAAGAUGCUAUCUUGAUAAGUUAAUCUGUGGCAACGAUCUGUUGCAGUUCAGUCAAAUGCAUAAUAAGUGCAAUUCAUAACUUGGCUAGGGUACUUAUACAUUAUCUUAUACGUAAUGCUAUGCAUUUGUAGUUGCUCGAAUUGCUUUGGUGAAACCUGAGAAGGCAAGAGGUGUUGAAGAUGUCAUAUUGAGAGCUGCUCAAAUGGGCCAAAUAGCUGAGAAGGUAUGGUUUAUGGUUCUCACAUCCUCAUCUGUCUUAUGGUGGCCCAUAGUUUUCUAUUUUUCUCGCACCAAAGCUUUCAUAAGAGCUCAUCUAUAGAAGAAACAAAGUGCUUAGAAUUCAAUUGUCAGGUCUCCGAAGAAAGGCUUAUUUCAUUGUUGGAACAGAUCAACAACCAAACAACCAAGCAGACCAAAGUCACUGUAAGUUUCAAUUCAUGACGACCUUCAUUUGUUUCCAUUUCCAUGAUAAGCGAUUCUGAUUUGGCCUUGUGUUGCUUUCCGUUUUCCAGAUUCAGAGGCGUAGGAGUGUUCUCGAAGAUGAUGAUUGAUUUGAAUUUGUGCGUUACAGUUGAAGACUUUGGCUGUAUAUUGAAACAUAAUGCACUUUGAAACAUAAUGCACUUGUUAUUGGGUUGUGAAAUAUUUUACUGUUCUUUCUUCAAUCUUGAUAUUCGUGAUAUGCUCUAAUACAAUAUUGUAUGGGAAGAAAUUUUUCACCAAUUAUUGUUUGAAGCCUUGUGAAUUUAAUUGAAAACUGGUCACUUGGAAUGGAAUAACAUUCUAAACUGAUUACUACCGACUCUCAACGCUUGAUUCUAGAUUUCAUUUUAUAUCAAAAGGUUUACCCUUAGUUGUGUUUUUGUGGCUUAGAUUUCAUUUUAUUAGAUUUCAGUCUAACAGGGAUACAUAACCCCUGAUAUUUGGUGCACAUUCAUGUCUGCGUCUGGUUGAUUGACUCUUAUUUUUUCGUGUUUGGUGUGAGACCAAAAGUCCAAAACUUCCGACAUAUGAUUCAUUAAACCAUGUUUCCUAAGAAAUAUAUAUCAGAGGAGGUAGUUUUUAUAAAAAUACAACAAUGAUGGAGAAAAAUUGAGAGAAGUUUAACUGAAGUUGAAGACAUCAAAAGGGUUAGCAACCUAAAUACUAAAAACAAAUGAGAGAAUAUACGUCAGCCUUAAGCACCAUUUGUAAGAAAGAAUAACCGUUAGAUGACACGAUCAGAAACUGAAGGCAACCAUUUGAUUGGAUAGGACAUGACACACGAGAUUUUUAUGAGGGAAAUCUGUAAAUUAUUUCACGAGUAAAACAAAUACAGUGUAAAAGAAACUAGGUAUUACAAGACUUUGAGAGAAAUCUUGAGUGAAGAGUUGGAAUCAAAAUCUUGUGUAAAGAUUUUGAAAUUCUGAGUAGAGAUUUUGAAUCGAAGAUUUGAGUAAAUACUGGAAUUUGAUAUGAGCACAAAGUGCUAUGUUUAUAAUGUAUUUCCUACCCUAUUUAGUUAUAAUAUUCUCAUAAUGUUAUUUCUAACAUGUUUUGUGAUUGUAGAGGCAAUGAAUCGAGAAAAAAAGGCUAAAUCGCGGAAAUAAGAGAAAAAUACAGAAAAAGGCAAAUAAGCCCUUCUUGCAGUCCAAGGAAGGAAGGAGAAGUAAAUUUGGAUUCUAAUUCCAAAGAAUGAAGGAGAAGUAAGUUUGGAUAAAAGAAAAGAGAAAAGUCAAACAUGUGCACCUAGUCCCACAUUAUUUUGGAAGAAGAAAUAAAUUUGGAUUUGUCACACCCCGGUCCCGACGUCGACGGGUUUUAAGCACUAGACGUCGAUCCUGAGGCGUGAACGAGUGUUACAAAGCGAAAUGUAAACAAAAGUACUAUCUUCUAAACUCGUCGUCUACCCUUUUCCCGGCUUGGUACAACCUAAGUACUUUUUCUGCAAAAAAUAUUAGAAAUGGAUGGGUGAGCAAAACCACGCGCUCAGUGAGUAGACCAAUGUAAUAUGCCCGCAAAGCCAUGUCAUUUUACACACGCUACAAAAUACGUAUAUCGUAUACACAUCACUUCACACAAUUCAUCACAUCGCACAAUCCCUUCUUAUUGGAUAUCCUUCAAUUUAGUGAUCCCCAUGGGAACCUAAUGACCUUCAAGUCUUAUACCUCCGUGUGUCACAUCCUUACUUCGGCAUAACCAAUCAAGAAGUUCACAUGUUCCAUGACUAAUCAAACAAUGGAUCCAACACAUAAUUAUAUAUAAACACUGCAUAUUUUGCAAAUAGACAUGGUUCACUUGAAAUAGAGAGAUAUUUCGUAAAUAGAUCAAAAUCAUGUUUUUCGACUAUUGUGAUAACAAAUAAGAAUAUUUUAAAUAUAUUACACAAAUCCACUCACCUCGUCAACACGAAUCCCUACCAAGAACAUCGAUUGUAAACCGAGCCUCCUAAAAUGAGUCAUCUAGAAAUCACCGUUGGAUCUAGCUCAAAAUUCUAGGAUAGAAAGAGGACAUCGAUACGUACCCGUAGCAUCUCGCGAAUUCAGAAUCGGAGUUAUGGAUCAAAAAUUAUAAUCCGCCAAAGUUUAGUCGCAAAUCUAGAGAGAGAAACUAAUUAAAGANNNNNNNNNNNNNNNNNNNNNNNNNNNNNNNNNNNNNNNNNNNNNNNNNNNNNNNNNNNNNNNNNGAGAGAGAGAGAGAGCGUCAGAAUUGAGACUUUUUUUUUUAGAGAAUUAUUUAUUAAGACUUGAGAGAGAAAAUUGGGGAAAAAUUAAGAGAUAUAGAGAGAGCGUACGUAUGUAUUCUGUCUUUCUUUUUGUUAUUUUAUACGCGUCACACGUAUUUUUAACGUGACGCACUUCCAGCUAUAUUAUUUGCAUUUUCUAUUAUGCCCCUACUUAUUAGUAUCUUUAUAAAACAAAACAAAAAAUAUUAAUAAAGGGUAAAACUGGUAUUAUCUGAAAACUGAAAAUAACUAUCCUCAUUUCCUAUUUCAUUUUUUUCUACCAUAUGCUCUCAAAUCUAUCGCUCUGCCAUAAGUUCUUAAAUCAAUCUUUUUGCCUGAAAAUCAAAUUUAAAAAGAUUCUCAUAAACCCUAAAUCAUGUACUUAUAUAAUUGCACCCCCGAAAAAGGUUCAAAUUUAGACCUAGUCUUGAAUCUCUGUAGCCUAACUCUUUCUUUUGUCUUUGUUAAUCGACAUCAUCAUGAUUUCGAGUUCGAAAUCGAAGCCUCAAUUAAGUAACGAGGCAUUCAAUGUAAACAUUAUUAGGCUAUUAAGUAUAACAUAUCAUCUUGCUUUAAAGGAUUCCAAUCGGAAGUGGUAGAGAACAGUUUCAUUCAGCUUGUUUUCACUUCUGCUUAUUUCAUUAUGUGUUUACACACGUUACCUUCAGUUUUUAGUCAAGUACCAAAAACCAAGAGCUUUUCCUUUCCUUAGAGGAAUCAAAAGCAACCACAAAAUUAAAUAACAAUGAUAUAAAGAGCUCAUAGCAUAUGAUCCAGCUGAUAAACCAGUUGAGAUCUACAACAUGAAUUAAGAGAGCAAAAUCGUGUGACCGUAUCAACAUCGAAACAACUUAAAGUCCACUGCAGUGGCACAGAAAUCAUUUGAGAAGGGUUCUGGUUAAAUGUUCUCUUGCAACAGCCCAUGCUUGAGUUAUAGUCUGCAAAGUUUGAAAAUUAGGAAAGCAGGAUUAGAUUAGUUUCUACUUUCUACCGCAUUUUAAUUGAAAACACUUUUGAGUAUCUGAAAUCCCUAUUAGCAGUACCUAGAAGCCCCUUAAUCUAUUUGGUUUCAACUAAGCAAACGGAAAGUUUUGCAUUACCUGCUCAGCCAAUGGUGCAUCAGCAUCCAUGGUAUGAGUUGCCACCUUUCCUGCGAUAAUAGUUGGAUCUGUUUCAAGUAUCAUCCUGCAAUAUAAGUCAAGCACAUGAGAUCGAUGUAUAAUCAUAUACUCGAUGACAGAACUAAGAUCAAGAAUCUUAUUGCACACCCUCCAUCAACAAUCUCAUCAAAGCACAGAAGUAUGAGAUCUAGGUUCUCCAGUGCCUCCCUUUUAUCAACAUUGUUCCUGCAAGUAGGACAAGCAUGAAUAUAUAGCACAAAAGGUCCAAGAUAAAUAAUGUUGAAAGGUAAAAGGAGUUCAAGGAAAAUGUUAUGACGUCCAAGUCUACCUCAAGAGAAGGGCAACUGCAUCAAAGAAUCCCUGAAGGACAGUGGCUAAAAUGAGUUCGUUUUCAUCGUCACUUCCAGUCACAAAGAAGUGAAGGUCCUGCAUAAACCUAUAUACAACAACGUUGCUUUCGAACAUCAUUAUCUCCGCUGCAUAAGAUAUACAAUAGCAAAUUGUAAAUUAAGGUACUACAAAUGUGGUGAUAUAACAUGACUUCCUGUAGCAUAUCGACAACAUGACUUGAAUGAAAUCAUUGUUUUCAUACAUUCAAUCCUUGCAUUUGUCUUAAGAGUCUUAGUGAACACAGAUUUUUCAAAAACUAGCUUUGCACCAUUUGUUGGCCAAUCAUCCGAGUAAUACUUGACCGCCACACGCUUCCCUUCAGAGUCCAUAAGAAGAAUGUUCUUCACAGAUGGGCGUGAAUCCUGGAAAAUAUAUAAAGGUGGAUCAGAACAGCAUGCAUAAAGAUCACUCAAUACAAAUUCAUACGCAGUUAGCCUAUAGCUAAUGAAUUCAUACUUUCAUCCAUAAAAAUCAUAUUGUGCCAAAAGUCUGUCUAAUCUAACUAAGGUUCUAAUAAUAGAUCCUGACUAUAUCCUUGGAUCUUAAAAUCUGAUUGAACAUCAGUUACAAUUGGCCAAAUCAACAUAAUUUGUUAAUAACUUAAUACACAUCAGUUGGUGACUUCAGCCUUCAGGUAUCAAUUUUCAAGCGUAAAAAAGAUCUAUAAUUCAAACUUGAUCGUUUUGCUCGUAAUCAGAGGAACUUCAAAGAUCUAUUGACGUGAGCUCAAAAUGAUCACAUCUUAUUUCCCAAUCAAUUAUACUAAACAAAUCGAUAGAGGUAAUAUGGAUUGGAAAAUGAGACUUACACGGUAACCGAAGAUACACUCCAUUUUGAUGUAAUGAUGAUACCUGAGACUUGGACACUUCGGUUCAGAUAUAUAUACCUUUUUCUUUAGAGGAAUGGAGAUGGGUAGUUUUGUCAGUUUAUUUAACUUUCUUCUACUGCUUUCCAGGAAAAAAAAUAAUUUUGCGUCUUGAUUUAUGUUUCAAAAAAAAAAUAAUCAAAAGUACGCAGUCCUGACUGUCUGAGAUAAUACAUACAAUUAAGAUUAUUCUUCUAUUUUACAUCUUCUUUAAUCUUGAUAGAUUCAUGUAUGUACUAUAAAUUUAUAUACAAUCUUGAUAGAUUUACUCUUCUUAUACCAUAGAUUUAAAAAGGAAGAAGAAUGAUGUCAUAUGUGGUGAACGGAAAGCCUUGGUUUUUUGGACACUAUGUCUGUAAUGGCGAAUGUUUGUAUGACUGUCUGUAAUGACGAAUGUUUGUAUGACCCGGCUAGCGAGUGUACCGAUCUCAACAUUCAUUGAAUAGGUUGAGAUAUUCCGAUUACCAUGACUAGAUAUACGAUGACGAUGGAUGGUUGGGGAAACUCUUGGUUAGGUGGAGCAGUUGGAUGAGAAUGAGAUUAAAUAAGACACCAGAGCUAAGGUCAGACUGAAUGGGAUGAUCCACCCUGACACCUAUUAAGUUGUUUUGCAUGAUUCCUUUACCAUGAUUAAGAUGGUGGAUUAUACUCUUAUCGUUGCCUUUUUUUUAAUAACUUUUUUUAAUAACUGACCUCAUUAUCUCAUAUUCAUAUAUCGAUUACAUGACUUGCAGCUCUAUUGCUAAUCUAAUUUCAUGUUCCUUCAAGAUAACAAAAUAUCUUCAAUAGUCAAUACACGACAUUGCCGUGUAUCUACAACAAACGAAAAAAAUAUGAAAAACUUGACCAUCAACGACAAACGAAAAAAAUAUGAAAAACUUGACCAUAUCGUAUGGGAAGUUGCAAAUAAGAAAAAAUUUCGAUACCUCACGGUCAUGACGUAUAUAUAUUUUGACGAAGUGAUUAACCUCCCAGGUUCCAAAGUCGCGCGUGAUCGUAGCCUCCUCCUCUGAACUAGCCGAAUCUCCUGACUACACUCACAUCUCAACCUUUUCCUUUCCUUAAACUCCCACAACCUUUGUACCUCUCCAAAUCUCUUCUCCACUUUUGCUUUUUUGCUUUGUCUCUUCUCCCCACUUCCCAACCAAACCAAUCACAUUUCCUCUCUCAAAGAUCACACCUUUCCCCCUAAAGUUUCAAUCUUUCACUUUUUCCGGCGACACCCAACUCCCCGGAACCACUUUCCGGCCGACCCAGAAUGGACAAAGAGCCUCUACUCCCCUACACAUCAAGCCCACGAAGAAAGCUCCCAUCUUUAACCACCCUCUGGCCUUUGCCGGAACACGACGAAGUCCCCGUCCCCUUAACCCCGUUGGAGUUUAAAGACCGCAUCAUCUUCGGCUCCCCCGCCGCCGCCACCGCCACUUCUUCUUCGCCGCAUGACUCGUCUCCUCUGGUCGACGCCCUCACUCUCUCUCUCAAUUCUCCAAGACUCUCUUCGAGGCCCACAUCCUCGUCUUCUCUACUGGACCCCACCACCGCGCCGCAGCCGCAGGGGGACCCACAAACGCCGCUGAGCUGGCUGAUCGACCCGAACUACUCAUGGACCAAGACCAACCUCCACAGGUCCAAGACGGCUCCGGCAAUGGCGGUUUUGAACGAGGUGAACCGCCGGGCCGGGCCUAAGCCUCAGAUGAGUUCACAGUCUAUUGUGAGGCAAGCUGUGAUUCUUCUUAUUGCGUAUUUGACAUUAGGGGUGACUAUAUAUUGGUUUAACCGUGAUAAUUUCGAAGCGAGUGAGACUCACCCUGUUGUGGAUGCUCUGUAUUUUUGCAUUGUGACAAUGUGCACUAUUGGGUAUGGGGAUAUCACACCCAAGACUACGGCUACCAAGCUGUUUUCAAUAAUGUUUGUGUUGGUGGGGUUCGGGUUUAUUGAUAUAUUGCUUAGUGGGAUGGUGUCAUAUGUGCUUGAUUUGCAGGAGGGUUAUUUGCUGAGGAGUGUGAAGGGUGUGGGGGAGAAGAAGGAGUCGUAUAUUAUUGAUGUGAAGAAGGGGAGGAUGAGGAUUCGGAUGAAGGUGGGACUGGCAUUGGGGGUUGUGGUGCUUUGUAUUGGUGUUGGUGCUAUGGUGAUGCAUUAUGUGGAGAAGUUAGGAUGGUUGGAUUCGUUUUAUCUCUCGGUUAUGUCUGUAACGACUGUGGGGUAUGGUGACCGGGCUUUUCAGUCUGUGCAGGGUCGGUUGUUUGCUUCAGUUUGGUUGCUUGUGUCCACACUCACGGUUGCUAGAGCCUUUUUGUAUUUGGCUGAGGCAAGGGUGGAUAAACGGCAUAGGAGGAUGGCAAAGUGGGUUCUUGGCCAGGAUAUGACUGUUUCCGAGUUCCUUGCUGCUGACAUUGACAAUAAUGGGUUUGUGAGGUAUGUGUUUUUACCAAACCUUUUGACAUUUUGAUCAGAUGAGUUGUUUGAGAUUGUUGGCUUUGUUUAAUUGACCUACAAUGAUGAUGGUGUAAAAGUUAUUUACUUCAUAGAUUGCAUUGUUUUGCUCUGAAUUCUUUAUGUGCUGUUUAGUUGUACUGCAUUUACCCAUUACUUUAGGUUUUGUAUGAAAGAAACAUGAAUACAUGUUAAGCAACUUGUAAUACAUUUUCUGCUUUGUUAGAAACACAGAUGAUCACUCCUUUCUCUAGUUAUCAAGUAUGAGAUUGAGUGAAGAGCCCUUUUUGUAAUAUAACUGCCCAGAAUUAGAUAGUUUAUUUUACAUUUUCCAACUUCUAUAAGUUCAACUUUGUGGUUUGUACUCAUAUGAUGCCGAAUAAGACAUCAGUUAUUAGAUUGUGUUCAAAGUGUUUCAGGGUUGGUGUGUCUUCUCAUUUCUUGGUACGUGUAUGUGUGAUAUGAAGGAGACCAAUGAAGUCAUUAAGGUGGAAUAAAACAGAUAAGAAUCAUAAGAUACUUUAGGUGAGUCUUUAUCAUAGCAUCCCCAUAAGCACAAUAGUCGCUUCUUUGGGAUUUGAGCAAGUCUUAAUAACAUAAUGCCACCACAAGUGAUACAAUACGUAUAGGACUCUGAGCACGAAAUUCAUCAUAGUGAAAUUUGAUUAGGGUGUCUCUGAUAAGAAUUGGCUAUAUGUUUUUCUCUUAUAAAUGAUACACAUUUGAUAGUGGGUAUCAACUCCGGAUGCGUAUGCUUUGGUAUCUUUCUGCCCUUUUGAGUUUGAUGUCAGGUUGGUAAUGGGCAUAGUCUAGUAAUGUUCAGUUUUGCUUGUGUAUUGAACAUCAGAGUCUGUACGUUCUCCACUUUGAGAAAAUUGUUUGGUUUCUCAUGUGAAGAGAAACAUUGUGGACAAGUCUGCAAAUAAUUUUGGAUGCCACAAAGUCAGGGCCUUGUGUCUAAGUCCAACUGAUCUGGGACAUAUGAACACUUGGUAGCAUAUGAAAUCUAUCAUUGCCAUUAUUGCAUAAUAGGCCCUGAGAACAGAGUAUAUGAUCUGAAUUGCAUCUUUACUUCAGAGCUGUCUUUUGCCCACCUUUUCAACUAAAGAACAUAUCUACGAACCUCCUGCCCUUUCUUGUGUUUGGAACUCAUGUUGCACAUAUCUCUCGUGUUCUUUAUGGACAAAAUGAUUACUCCUGCUCUUCUUUUUUGCAAUGUAAGCACUACUACUUUCCUGAUUCUUUUCCUCUAUUUAGAGGCUCCAAAGACAAAUUCAGUCAAUGAACUUAUUCUGUACAUGGUUGGCUCUUAGUAGAUGUGGCCAAAGGUCAAAUACAAAUUGUGAAGCCUUAUUGAACAUCCAGCACUGCCAACUUGGGUGUAUAGGCUAGAACUACUAUUGUAUUGCGCCUUUCUUCUUCUCCUAAUUAGUAGUUACUCAUAUUAUUUUGCAUGUUCUUGAGCUCAGUAAUCUGAUUUGGUGUUUUAUAUGAAGUACCUAUUAUAACAAUAGUUUGGAUGACAGGUUGAAAGAGGUACCAACUUACUAUUUUUCUGAAACCAGAGUUCUUAUUUGACUGCCCAACUUCAUAAACUUUUGAACCAUCAUACGUGAGUAGUUUAUGUGCGUUUCAGAUAUUAUAAUGUAAAAGUGAAGCUUGUUGGUUGCUAUUAACCAAUAGUUGAAGAGUCUUUUUCAGUCUGAAUAGUGUAUCUGAAUAAUCUGGAGUCAACAGAUUGCAGAAGAUGGGGAUUAUUUUCAGAUAACAUGCAUAUAAUCUGCUUCUUUGAACAUGCCUUAAUACGUUUUAACAUUUCCAUUAUCUGUCUAUACCAUUAUUUUCUACAGAAGUAUUCCAUACAUAUUGGAAUGCAAAGGUUUUGCUUUAGAUUUCUUGCGCAUAAAUGUGACAUAUUUUUUUUUAACUAAGAUCUAUAUGGAAUGUCUAUAUUGGUAAACUGUCUAUGAGUUGCAACUAAUAUAUUGAUCAUUUAUAGUUAUUAUUUGUGUAUGCUCUUAGCAGUCAACCUUUUGCCAUUAGUGACCAUGAUGUAUUCUAGAAAACUGGAGAUGAACCCUGCUUAUGAUAUUCUCAGUGCUACCGUACUAGGCAAUAACGUGGUUUCAACCAUUGUUUUCUUGUUGUCAUGAUUUAGUUAUGUUAUCUAGCACACCAUGAUAGCUUAACAUGGUGUGCUAGUUUCCUUGGCUGACUUUAUUUGUGUGUAUAUAUAAAUAAAUAAAUAAUUAAAUAAAUCUACGUCUUGUUGGACUGUCUUUGCUUUGUCUUCAGCACCUUAAAUUAUUUGCUUGCUUAUUUUGACUUGCAGUGAUCCGCAACUAGGCAAGUUUUUGUUGGCUAAUGAUGUUGUUCACUUGUUUGUAUAUGCAGCAAGUCAGAAUAUGUGAUAUACAAACUCAAGGAGAUGGGAAAGGUAUCAGAGAAAGAUAUUAUGCAGAUCUCCAACAAAUUUGAUAGGUUAGACUCUGGGAACUGCGGAAAGAUAACGCUUGCCGAUCUUAUGAGUCGUCAUUGAUAUCCAAGCACCUUUUAUUCCUUUUCCUCAUGGUACAGCAAGGGAAGAAAAUACGUUAUCUCAUUGAACAUGACGUAUAAGAAGCCUGAUCUUUAUGUAGGACUCGCCGUUCAUAUACAAGUUGCAUACACAUGAAAUCAUGAAGUAUGAACUCUGCUGCCUGAUCAAUUGGUCCUCCUUUCUAUACAUCCUGAGCAUCAGCUUGGUCGUUCUUAUAUGAUCAGCUACAUCGAUGCAUUUCUUGAGUAAUACAAACAAGCUAACAACAAAGGUUAUUGCAUAUUCCAGAAUUGCUCAAGUGACGGGAGAAGUGAAACAGAAAAUUGAAAUCACUUUUUUGAGUCUAGACAGAAAAUAACUGUUGACAUAGACUGGCUGUCCUUGUUUUUCUUGGAGAAUUUUGAAGAUUAAUAGCUUAGAAAUCAACAGUAUGUUACUUUUGAUUAGAGUUGAGCCUGUCCUUCUGGCUUCCAAUUGUAAAUGAUUGCAGCUUUGGAUCAAUGAAGGUGAGGCCUUGAAUCAGCACUACUAACAAACCACAAGAUUUGUUUUUAAGUUGGUUGAAUAGCUUGAGAAGGGUGAAACAAUUUUACAAAUUGGAAAUUAUCGCAGUGUGUGACUGUUUGAUUUGGAUAUGGGUUCCUGAAGUCUCCUCUAUCUUUUGGUUUAUUGGUGGGGGAGAAAAUGAAAUGCACUCAUCAUAUUUGAUCAUAAUGAACCCAAAAGGUGCGAGUGUGUAACUACCUCAACUCCUGGUUUACCACUUUCUGUCCCUACUGUCUCAUAUGUUUGGUAUGACAGAAACCCUAAUCUUAUAGUAGAAGAAGAUGAAAGGUAGUCAGCCUUGGUGACCAUGUUGGUAUCAAAAGCUUGAUGAUCAAACCAAUGCCAUUCAUAAUCUAUUGCGACUUUUAUGGUAAAAUUGAAUUGAAAGUAGACUAACUACCUAUAUAUAUUGCUUUAUUCUUGUCCUCUACAAAAGUUCCUUUCAGAAGUGUUGAACAGGACCUUUGUUGUUACUAGAAGAACCUUUCCUUGAAGCUUUCUAUAGCAAUGCACAGAAAGCUAGUUCAUACCUCUAAUAGAGUAAUAACAAGACGAACAAUUAGACUGUCUAUUGGAUUCUAAUGAUGAAGUAGACUCUCCUCAGUGUUCUUGAUCUUGAUCUUGACUGGGAAGCAAAGACUGUGUCCUUUGAAUUCAUAGCGUUUACCCAUAAAGGAGAACAAAAACUUGAAAGAAUGCAAACUAAACUAAAAUAUACCAAGUCAGAUUGACUCACUGCCACUCAUGACAAGCAGAUGACUCCAUCAAAGAAGCAAUAAGUUUCUGAUUUGGUAAAUAAAGGUCAUUUGCUUCAUUUUUUAUUCACCAGUUAGUGAAAUGGUGG